rnacentral:rRNA from 1 species
UACAGAGGUCUCAACCGUUGUUCGGAUUCAUUGGGCGUAAAGGGUGCGUAGGCGGCGGGGCAAGUCAGGUGUGAAAUCUCGGGGCUCAACCCCGAAACUGCACUUGAUACUGCCUUGCUCGAGUACUGGAGAGGAGACUGGAAUUUACGGUGUAGCAGUGAAAUGCGUAGAUAUCGUAAGGAAGACCAGUGGCGAAGGCGAGUCUCUGGACAGUUACUGACGCUGAGGCACGAAGGCCAGGGAGCAAACGGG